GUGCCAGCAGCCGCGGUAAGACGAACCGUGCAAACGUUAUUCGGAAUCACUGGGCUUAAAGAGUCCGUAGGCGGCGCGUUAGGUGGGGUGUGAAAUCCCUCGGCUCAACCGAGGAAUUGCGCUCCAAACCGGCGUGCUUGAGGAAGGUAGAGGUGAGCGGAACUGAUGGUGGAGCGGUGAAAUGCGUUGAUAUCAUCAGGAACACCGGAGGCGAAGGCGGCUCACUGGGCCUUUUCUGACGCUGAGGGACGAAAGCUAGGGUAGCGAACGGGAUUAGAAACCCCAGUAGUCC
rnacentral:rRNA from 1 species